rnacentral:sRNA from 1 species
UUCUUCUUGCUAGCGGCCGGUGCUCGA